rnacentral:tRNA from 1 species
GCGAGUAUAGUUAAAUGGUCAUAAUCCUUACCUUCCAAGUAAGAGUUAUCAGUUCAAGUCUGAUUAUUCGUA